rnacentral:rRNA from 1 species
CCCUUAGAUGUUCUGGGCCGCACGCGCGCUACACUGACAGGGCCAGCGAGUACAUCACCUUAACCGAGAGGUUUGGGUAAUCUUGUUAAACCCUGUCGUGCUGGGGAUAGAGCAUUGCAAUUAUUGCUCUUCAACGAGGAAUGCCUAGUAGGCACGAGUCAUCAGCUCGUGCCGAUUACGUCCCUGCCCUUUGUACACACCGCCCGUCGCUCCUACCGAUUGGGUGUGCUGGUGAAAUGUUCGGAUCGGCCGUUUGUCGCGGUUUCCGCGUCAUGUGGCUGAGAAGUUCAUUAAACCCUCCCACCUAGAGGAAGGAGAAGUCGUAACA